ACAGAGACCUCAAACGUUAUCCGGAUUCAUUGGGUGUAAAGGGUCCGCAGGUGGUCAGAGUAGUCGGUGGUUAAAUCCUGGCGCUUAACGUCAGGACUGCUGUCGAUACUCUCUGGCUAGAGACUGGGAGAGGCACAUGGAAUUCUCGGUGUAGUCGUAAUAAGCGCUGAUAUCGAGAAGAACACCAAAGGCGAAGGCAAUGUGCUAGAACAGUUCUGACACUCAUGGACGAAAGCGUGGGGAGCGAAUAGGA
rnacentral:rRNA from 1 species